rnacentral:lncRNA from 1 species
AGCAAUCAGUGCUUUCUCAACCCUGAGAGUUCUAUGGUACAGUACAGAACUAUUAGUCUUUAUAUAGUCUAUUUCUGACCAACAAGGUGCACAUUUUCAUCAAGAGGUUGAGGAACAGACAAAUAUAGAGGGGCAAUCAACAAAGUGAAGGAGUCCAGACCAGGUUCCCAGAAUGUGAAGGCAGACGCACUGUCCUGGCUGUAUGACACAGAGGAGCGGCCCAUGGAUCAGAGUCUGGUGGGCUUUCAUGGAACGUUUGGGGGUCUCGAUCAGCCUCACCUCGGGUUUCCACCCUGAGAGUAAUGGGCAGGUGGAGAGAGUGAACCAGGAUGUGGGCAGGGUUCUGGCACCGUGGCAUCAGAGUCAGACCGAGGCUCCUGCGGUGGACGAUUGGUUCAGACGCACGGAGGAGACCUGGGAAGCCGCCCAUGGUCCCCUCCAGCAGGCUGCGCUACGCCAAAAGACCAGCGCGGACCAUCACUGCAGUGAGGCCCCGGUUUUUGCACCGGGGGACUGGGUCUGGCUCUCGACCCGAAACCUGCCCCUCCGCCUGCCCUGCAGGAAGCUGGGCCCGAGGCCGGUGGUGGCUGGUCCACUCCAGGAGUCUGAGGUGCGGGAGAUUCCUCUGCCCCCUCUGGACAUCGAGGGGGCCCUGGCAUAUUCCGUCCGUUCCAUCCUGAACUCGAGGCUUCAGGCGAGGAGCCUUCAGUACCUCGUGGAGUGGGAGGGGUACGGUCCGGAGGAGAGGUGCUGGGUUCCGGUGGCUGAUGUAUUGGACCCUGAACUACUGCGUGAGUUCCACUGUCGGUG